AUUGAACGCUGGCGGCAGGCCUAACACAUGCAAGUCGAACGAGUGGCGGACGGGUGAGUCAUGUCCGGGAAACUGCCUGAUGGAGAGGGAUAACUACUGGAAACGGUAGCUAAUACCGCAUACCAUCGGAUGUGCCCAGAUGGGAUUAGCUAGUAGGUGGGGGAACGGCUCACCUAUGCGACGAGCCCUAGCUGGUCUGAGAGGAUGACCAGCCACGCUGGAACGUAGACACGGUCCAGACUCCUACGGGAGGCAGCAGUGGGGAAUAUUGCACAAGUGGCGCAAGCCUGAUGCAGCCAGGCCGCGUGUAUGAAGAAGGCAUUCGGGUUGUAAAGUACUUUCAGCGGGGAGGCGUUACCCGCAGAAGAAGCACCGGCUAACUCCGGGCCAGCCGCCGCGGUAAUAC
rnacentral:rRNA from 1 species